rnacentral:rRNA from 1 species
GACGAACGCUGGCGGCGUGCUUAACACAUGCAAGUCGAACGAUGAAGCUAGAGCUUGCUCUGGUGAAUUAGUGGCGAACGGGUGAGUAACACGUGAGUAACCUGCCCCAAACUCUGGGAUAACUGCUGGAAACGGUAGCUAAUACUGGAUAUGACCAACGAAGGCAUCUUCUGUUGGUGGAAAGAACUUCGGUUUGGGAUGGACUCGCGGCCUAUCAGCUUGUUGGUGAGGUAAUGGCUCACCAAGGCGACGACGGGUAGCCGGCCUGAGAGGGUGACCGGCCACACUGGGACUGAGACACGGCCCAGACUCCUACGGGAGGCAGCAGUGGGGAAUAUUGCACAAUGGGCGCAAGCCUGAUGCAGCAACGCCGCGUGAGGGACGACGGCCUUCGGGUUGUAACCUCUUUUAGUAGGGUAAGAAGCGAAGUGACGGUACCUGCAGAAAAGACAACCGGCUAACUACGUGCCAGCAGCCGCGGUAACGAGUGUGUGUACG